GCCGGGGUAUCCAAGCGGCUACGGAGACGGUCUCGAAAACCGUUGCCCUUGAGGCUCAUGGGUUCGAGUCCCAUCCCCGGCGCCA
rnacentral:tRNA from 1 species